rnacentral:rRNA from 1 species
AACGAACGCUGGCGGCAUGCCUAACACAUGCAAGUCGAGCGAGAUCUUCGGGUCUAGUGGCGCACGGGUGCGUAACGCGUGGGAAUCUGCCCUUUGGUUCGGAAUAACAGUUGGAAACGACUGCUAAUACCGGAUGAUGACGAAAGUCCAAAGAUUUAUCGCCAGAGGAUGAGCCCGCGUAGGAUUAGCUAGUUGAUGUGGUAAAGGCGCACCAAGGCGACGAUCCUUAGCUGGUCUGAGAGGAUGAUCAGCCACACUGGGACUGAGACACGGCCCAGACUCCUACGGGAGGCAGCAGUGGGGAAUAUUGGACAAUGGGCGAAAGCCUGAUCCAGCAAUGCCGCGUGAGUGAUGAAGGCCUUAGGGUUGUAAAGCUCUUUUACCCGGGAUGAUAAUGACAGUACCGGGAGAAUAAGCUCCGGCUAACUCCGUGCCAGCCGCCGCGGUAACAC